UAAUUUUCUCAUUUCUGACACCAAUGCAGCAAACGUUAAAGAAUAUGGAGCCACAUAGCAUGAAAUGUGUCAAUUGUAUGGGCUAUGGGAAUUGGCUUGAUCAAGACCGUGCUUCGGCAACUAUUCUACUGCAUUCAGCAGCUUAGCAAAAGAAGACAACUGAUUCUGGGGAAGUCACCCGCUGAGUGAAAAUCAAUAUACUUGUCGCUGUGGAAGGAGCUGCAGCAGAUGACCCAAUGCCAGUUGAGUGUGGACGUUGCCCUUCCUUUGUCGUUGUGGAUGGAGCUGCAGCAGAUUACCCAAUGCCAGUUGAGUGUGGAUGUUGCCCUUCCUGUGUUGUUGUGGAUGGAGCUGCAGCAGAUGACCCAAUGCCAGUUGAGUGUGGACGUUGCCCUUCCUUUGUCGUUGUGGAAGGAGCUGCAGCAGAUGAUCCAAUGCCAGCUGACAAUGUGGACGUUGCCCUUGUGAUAGAAGAGCAGGUGAUCAUACAUGAGCUUCACAAUGUCCCAAAUGCCUUUUCCACUUUGAUUGGGCUUCUUUAUUUUCUGAACAAGGAUCACCAAACAUGUUUGAGGUACACUUUUGAGGUUGUUCAGAAAAUAUUCUUGAAGACAGGUGCAGAAAACUAUUUGGUGUGUUUUUGUUUUACUGGCAUUAGUUCAGUUAAUUCCUCAGACAACGAUGCUGUUAUUUGCCUAAAUCUUACAGAUCUCUGUUUUGGGAAGACUUAAGUUAUCUUAUUUUUACAUGUGAUCUUCAGUCUGCAAACUACAACCGUCUUUUGUUAGAGACCAUUGAUUUGCUGCCAUCUCUUCCCAUUAACUAAAGUGCAUUCUGAAAAAUUAUAACAUGCUGUAAACAUUUUCUCACUCAACACCAACUUCUCUUAGAAACCGUUCAGAAGGUUGUCUUUGCUCAGUGUUGGAUUUUUUUUCUAAUACCAUGCCGUAAAACUGUGUUUCAAUGGUACCAUUUACAAAUGUGUAUGGGUUUAUUGGACAGUGGAUUUAUUUAUUUUUGACAAAACAUUUAUCUUUAAAAAAAAAUAUUCUUAGCUAAUAUUGGUUAAAAGACCAUUUAGUGACUGCAGAAUUUGGCUGCUCGUUUAAAUGUACCUGAAGACAUGCAUCUAAAAAAUAUAUGUUAUUACAAGCUAAAUGGAAUUAAUUGAUUUCAAUGUAAGUUGUUGAAUCGAUCAAUGUACUCUUGAUAGUAAAUCAGUUAUUGUAAAUAUAAAGUCAUUUUAAAAUGGAGAAAAGCUUUACCUAAUCCGAACAUUGUUCAACUGGGUUAAAUUAAGUCGACAUGUUUUUUAAGUCAAAGUGUUGCGUUUGAACAGUGGUUCUCAACUUGCAGCCUGUGGCAAGCUUGUAUGUUAUGUCAUUAAUAGUAUAGUUAUUUAUUUGUGUGACCAGCUUGACUUGCUCGUAGCCACAGUGUAGCACCACCAGCCAAACAGGUUGAGAACCCUGUGUUACAAUAACUCAAUAUGAAGUAGGCUUGACUUAAGUGCAUGUUGUUUGAACAAGGAUUGUAAAUGAUUAACUCUUUUAAAUGUGGCUUUAGAUCAGAUAACUCACACUUUAAUGUUGUUCAACUUAUUAUUUUCAGUUAUCUAGUUACAUGACCUUGUUCAAGCUCAGAGUACAUUACAUGUCACCUCAUCCUAGCUCAGACAAUUUUGUUAGAUUUUAAAUGUAGUUAUCUGUCACGUCCUGACCAUAGAGAGUCCUUAUUUUCUAUGGUGGAGUAGGUCAGGGCGUAACUGGGGGUUUAGUCUAGUUUAUUAUUUCUAUGUGGGGUUCUAGUUUUGUUUUUCUAUGUUGGGGAUUUUGUAUGAUUCCCAAUUAGAGGCAGCUGGUAAUCGUUGUCUCUAAUUGGGGAUCAUAUUUAGGAAGCCUUUUUCCACCUGUGGGUUGUGGGAUAUUGUUUUGAGUUAGUGCACGUAGCACCACUGUAGUCACGGUUCGUUUAUUGUUUUGUUAAGUUUCACUUUCUAAUAAAUUAUGUGGAA